GAUGAACGCUGGCGGCGUGCCUAAUACAUGCAAGUCGAGCGAACAGAUAAGGAGCUUGCUCCUUUGACGUUAGCGGCGGACGGGUGAGUAACACGUGGGUAACCUACCUAUAAGACUGGAAUAACUCCGGGAAACCGGGGCUAAUGCCGGAUAACAUUUAGAACCGCAUGGUUCUAAAGUGAAAGAUGGUUUUGCUAUCACUUAUAGAUGGACCCGCGCCGUAUUAGCUAGUUGGUAAGGUAACGGCUUACCAAGGCAACGAUACGUAGCCGACCUGAGAGGGUGAUCGGCCACACUGGAACUGAGAAACGGUCCAGACUCCUACGGGAGGCAGCAGUAGGGAAUCUUCCGCAAUGGGCGAAAGCCUGACGGAGCAACGCCGCGUGAGUGAUGAAGGUCUUCGGAUCGUAAAACUCUGUUAUUAGGGAAGAACAAAUGUGUAAGUAACUGUGCACGUCUUGACGGUACCUAAUCAGAAAGCCACGGCUAACUACGUG
rnacentral:rRNA from 1 species